UACGUAGGGUGCAAGCGUUGUCCGGAAUUACUGGGCGUAAAGAGCUCGUAGGCGGUUUGUUGCGUCGGCUGUGAAAACCCGGGGCUCAACCCCGGGCCUGCAGCCGAUACGGGCAGACUAGAGUUCGGCAGGGGAGACUGGAAUUCCUGGUGUAGCGGUGAAAUGCGCAGAUAUCAGGAGGAACACCGGUGGCGAAGGCGGGUCUCUGGGCCGAUACUGACGCUGAGGAGCGAAAGCGUGGGGAGCGAACAGG
rnacentral:rRNA from 1 species